rnacentral:lncRNA from 1 species
UUUAUCAUAGUACUGUUGAGGUACUUCUUAUUUGUGUGUACGGAACUCAGGUAGAAACACGCACCAUGGACGAACCAAUAACAUAAACCAUGUGGGACUAUUGUCGACCUACUGACGCCUCACAGGUCUCCUUGGGUUUCAUUCAUCUAACCCUUGUUAGUUUCAACAUCAAAUACUCUAUGUUAUUAGGUUUGAGGGAUAAGAAGUUCUACGGGAACACAAAUAAUGACCCAUGGG